GAUUAAGUUAUUAAGGGCGCACGGUGGAUGCCUUGGCACUAGAAGCCGAAGAAGGACGUUACUAACGACGAUAUGCUUUGGGGAGCUGUAAGUAAGCGUUGAUCCAGAGAUUUCCGAAUGGGGAAACCCAACAUGAGUUAUGUCAUGUUAUCGAUAUGUGAAUACAUAGCAUAUCAGAAGGCAGACCCGGAGAACUGAAACAUCUUAGUACCCGGAGGAAGAGAAAGAAAAAUCGAUCCCCUGAGUAGCGGCGAGCGAAACGGGAAGAGCCCAAACCAACAAGCUUGCUUGUUGGGGUUGUAGGACACUCUAUACGGAGUUACAAAAGUAUAUAUUAGACGAAUCAUCUGGAAAGUUGAAUCAAAGAAGGUAAUAAUCCUGUAGUCGAAAAUAUAUACUCUCUUGAGUGGAUCCUGAGUACGACGGAGCACGUGAAAUUCCGUCGGAAUCUGGGAGGACCAUCUCCUAAGGCUAAAUACUCUCUAGUGACCGAUAGUGAACCAGUACCGUGAGGGAAAGGUGAAAAGUACCCCGGAAGGGGAGUGAAAGAGAACUUGAAACCGUGUGCUUACAAGUAGUCAGAGCCCGUUAAUGGGUGAUGGCGUGCCUUUUGUAGAAUGAACCGGCGAGUUACGAUUUGAUGCAAGGUUAAGCAGUGAAUGUGGAGCCGUAGCGAAAGCGAGUCUGAAUAGGGCGUUGAGUAUUUGGUCGUAGACCCGAAACCAGGUGAUCUACCCUUGGUCAGGUUGAAGUUCAGGUAACACUGAAUGGAGGACCGAACCGACUUACGUUGAAAAGUGAGCGGAUGAACUGAGGGUAGCGGAGAAAUUCCAAUCGAACCUGGAGAUAGCUGGUUCUCUCCGAAAUAGCUUUAGGGCUAGCCUCAAGUGAUGAUUAUUGGAGGUAGAGCACUGUUUGGACGAGGGGCCCUUCUCGGGUUACCGAAUUCAGACAAACUCCGAAUGCCAAUCAAUUUAACUUGGGAGUCAGAACAUGGGUGAUAAGGUCCGUGUUCGAAAGGGAAACAGCCCAGACCACCAGCUAAGGUCCCAAAAUAUAUGUUAAGUGGAAAAGGAUGUGGCGUUGCCCAGACAACUAGGAUGUUGGCUUAGAAGCAGCCAUCAUUUAAAGAGUGCGUAAUAGCUCACUAGUCGAGUGACACUGCGCCGAAAAUGUACCGGGGCUAAACAUAUUACCGAAGCUGUGGAUUGUCCGUAGGACAAUGGUAGGAGAGCGUUCUAAGGGCGUUGAAGCAUGAUCGCAAGGACAUGUGGAGCGCUUAGAAGUGAGAAUGCCGGUGUGAGUAGCGAAAGACGGGUGAGAAUCCCGUCCACCGAUUGACUAAGGUUUCCAGAGGAAGGCUCGUCCGCUCUGGGUUAGUCGGGUCCUAAGCUGAGGCCGACAGGCGUAGGCGAUGGAUAACAGGUUGAUAUUCCUGUACCACCUAGUAUCGUUUUAAUCGAUGGGGGGACGCAGUAGGAUAGGCGAAGCGUGCUAUUGGAUUGCACGUCCAAGCAGUAAGACUGAGUGUUAGGCAAAUCCGGCACUCAUAAGGUUGAGCUGUGAUGGGGAGAGGAAAUUGUUUCCUCGAGUCGUUGAUUUCACACUGCCAAGAAAAGCCUCUAGAUAGAUAACAGGUGCCCGUACCGCAAACCGACACAGGUAGUCAAGAUGAGAAUUCUAAGGUGAGCGAGCGAACUCUCGUUAAGGAACUCGGCAAAAUGACCCCGUAACUUCGGGAGAAGGGGUGCUCUUUAGGGUUAACGCCCAGAAGAGCCGCAGUGAAUAGGCCCAAGCGACUGUUUAUCAAAAACACAGGUCUCUGCUAAACCGUAAGGUGAUGUAUAGGGGCUGACGCCUGCCCGGUGCUGGAAGGUUAAGAGGAGUAGUUAGCUUCUGCGAAGCUACGAAUCGAAGCCCCAGUAAACGGCGGCCGUAACUAUAACGGUCCUAAGGUAGCGAAAUUCCUUGUCGGGUAAGUUCCGACCCGCACGAAAGGCGUAACGAUUUGGGCACUGUCUCAACGAGAGACUCGGUGAAAUCAUAGUACCUGUGAAGAUGCAGGUUACCCGCGACAGGACGGAAAGACCCCGUGGAGCUUUACUGUAGCCUGAUAUUGAAAUUCGGCACAGCUUGUACAGGAUAGGUAGGAGCCUUUGAAACGUGAGCGCUAGCUUACGUGGAGGCAUUGGUGGGAUACUACCCUAGCUGUGUUGGCUUUCUAACCCGCACCACUUAUCGUGGUGGGAGACAGUGUCAGGCGGGCAGUUUGACUGGGGCGGUCGCCUCCUAAAAGGUAACGGAGGCGCUCAAAGGUUCCCUCAGAAUGGUUGGAAAUCAUUCAUAGAGUGUAAAGGCAUAAGGGAGCUUGACUGCGAGACUUACAAGUCGAGCAGGGUCGAAAGACGGACUUAGUGAUCCGGUGGUUCCGCAUGGAAGGGCCAUCGCUCAACGGAUAAAAGCUACCCCGGGGAUAACAGGCUUAUCUCCCCCAAGAGUUCACAUCGACGGGGAGGUUUGGCACCUCGAUGUCGGCUCAUCGCAUCCUGGGGCUGUAGUCGGUCCCAAGGGUUGGGCUGUUCGCCCAUUAAAGCGGUACGCGAGCUGGGUUCAGAACGUCGUGAGACAGUUCGGUCCCUAUCCGUCGUGGGCGUAGGAAAUUUGAGAGGAGCUGUCCUUAGUACGAGAGGACCGGGAUGGACAUACCUCUGGUGUACCAGUUGUCGUGCCAACGGCAUAGCUGGGUAGCUAUGUAUGGACGGGAUAAGUGCUGAAAGCAUCUAAGCAUGAAGCCCCCCUCAAGAUGAGAUUUCCCAACUUCGGUUAUAAGAUCCCUCAAAGAUGAUGAGGUUAAUAGGUUCGAGGUGGAAGCGUGGUGACACGUGGAGCUGACGAAUACUAAUCGAUCGAAGACUUAAUCAA
rnacentral:rRNA from 1 species